rnacentral:tRNA from 1 species
GUCAGUUUGUCCGAGUGGUCAAGGAGUGAGACUUGAAAUCUCAUGGGCUCUGCCCGCACAGGUUCGAACCCUGUAGCUGACG